AGAGUUUGAUCCUGGCUCAGGAUGAACGCUAGCGGCGGGCCUAAUACAUGCAAGUCGAACGGUGUAGCAAUACAUAGUGGCAGACGGGUGCGUAACGCGUAUGCAACCUACCCUCUAUCGGGGGACAACAUUUCGAAAGAAGUGCUAAUACCGCGUAAGAUAGUACUGUGACAUCGCAGAGCUAUUAAACUCACGGGGAUAGAGGAUGGGCAUGCGUCUGAUUAGCUAGUUGGCGGGGUAAAGGCCCACCAAGGCGACGAUCAGUAGGGGAACUGAGAGGUUGAUCCCCCACACUGGCACUGAGAUACGGGCCAGACUCCUACGGGAGGCAGUAGUAGGGAAUAUUGGGCAAUGGAGGGAACUCUGACCCAGCCACGCCGUGUGCAGGAGGAAGGCGCUCUGCGAUGAAAACUGCUUUAGCAGGGGAAGAAAAAGGCCAUGCGAGGUAAAUUGACGGUACCCUGAGAAUAAGCACCGGCUAACUA
rnacentral:rRNA from 1 species